UGAGUUAACCGACAUCCUACUUUUUAUUUCCGAAUGGUUACUUAUAUUAAAAAUUCCAUAAACAGACGGUGUAAUAGUUUAAAUACAUUUAAGUGUUGAAAUUUUUGAUUUCCGUCAAACCAUUUACGAGAUAUUCCACUUGUAUACAUAAAUAAUGUGAGAUGGUAACGGAGCACUAUUUAAAUGCCACGGACUGUGCCACCCCAUAAAUGAUACUAUACUACUCAUACCUAACAUUUCAGAGAUUUUGUUUUUGGAAAUGUAAAAAAAAAAAGGUACGCAAAAAGUUAACACAUACUUUCCGAGAGAUCUUUAUGGUACUCUGAUAUAAAAUACAUAUUAUUU